UCUAUAAGCCCGUGAUCUGAAACAACCGGAAGCCCGUGAAGUCAAGUACACACAAAUCGCAUACGUCAUUCAAUGUACUUUCUCUUUUAAAUAGCAGCCGCGUUCUCGAUAUAAACAUUGUAUCUGUAAAGCUUAUGCGAGACGUUAUUGCGAUGACAUAACUUAUUGACAGAUACAGUUGCAGUUUUUGUAUAGUAAGAGAAGACGAAAAGUUCAUUCGAGGUUGGGUUUCGUCAGAAGAAAUUCUUCAGCAAGUCAUCGAAGCGCAUUCAAUACGUAAACACAGGAUGACAACGUGUUUCAGGGUCAAUAUAGCUCUUAGUAUAAAUUCAAAGAUCCGUAAAACAACAUUCUGGAGAAGCUGUUCAAUUGAAAGAGUAUUCAAUGUACCGACUGCCAUUUGAAGAAACAGACAAACAGGAAUAUCUAUGAAGAGGAUAAAGAAGAAUAAAUAAAUUUGAUCUGUGUUCUGUGCAUUUGAUUCAAGAUUGGCAGUCUGAAUGGCCAAGUUUGAAAAUAAUUAGUGCAAUAUAUCUAAAGAAAUUAUUUUGUGAAAAAUGCUACCUAAUAUCUACAUGUUAGCAGGGUAACACAGUAAAGUGAGUUGUAUAUAAUGACAAUUUAAUAAUUAUUAAUAAUUGUUAAUCUUCGAUGUAUAUGUAUUAUAUCAUAUAGGUCUCUGGAGCAAUUUUUCUCUAACCUGAGCCAAAGUCUCAAGCUUUUCUAAUCAUGAUUUGUCCGUUUUCUGUCAUUGUUCUUGUUGUUGUCAUUAACUUUCCACAUUUUCAUCUUCUUACCCAGAACAACUGGGCAAGUCUAACCAAACUUGGCCCAAAUCAUCACUGGGUAAAGAGGACUAGAUGUUUUUUUUCAAAUGAAGGGUCCAUGCCCUCUUAAAAUUUGUUGGUAUUUUUCAAAAUUCUUCUGAGACACCAUUUGGCCAGAAAAGCUCAAAUAUGUGUGGAAGCAUAAUAUUUACUGUGAAAGAAAUUUCCAGAGCUUACUUCCAUGUAACACAGCUAAAGUGAAAAAGAAAUCAAUUUUUGGAGCACUUCCUCUGAUGACUGAAAGUUUAUCGGUUCAAACAAACCAUGUUAAACAUAUAUAUCUACAUAUAUGUACAUAAUUCUACCUUUCCACAAAAUUUUGUUGUUUAAGUAUCUGCAAAAUCUGAGAAAAAGAGAAAAAUCUUCUAACAAAUACCAUUACAAAAAAAUUUGAUAUUUACCAUUAUUAUUAUUUUUACUUUAUAUGCUAUUUGAAUCUAUUUGAAUUUGGCACUGUAGUGUUGAUUUGAUCAGUUAUGGCUUUUGUUGCUCAGGUGAGCGAUGUGGCCCCUUGGCCUUUUGCUUCUUCAGCAGUACAAUAAACUUGUUGAAAAAAGUUUGUAUAGUAUAUGUAUAUAUGUAUUGUUUCGUAAGACUUAUGCCCUGUAUGAUAAUGUAAACUUUUCUAAAAUGCAUAUCUUAUAAAAUGGAUUUCAGUACACUAGUUUAAGGUGAAGGCCCCUUUCCAAUCUACGAUAUUGUAUUUAGUUCAGUUCAUCAAUGUAACUUAAAUAAACAUAAAUAAUAAAACUUGCUUCAUUAUUGUUUAAAUCUUGUUUUAAAAAUAAGAGUGCUACUAAAUUCAUGAGCCUUAUAUCUCGUACUAAAUAGAGUGUGGGUGAGUUCACAGGCCUCAUAUCUUGUACCAUAUAUAGGUGUCGAUGAGUUCACGGGCCUUAUAUUAUAUAGAGUGUCGAUGAGUGCAUGGGCCUUAUAUCUUGUAAAAUAUAGAGUGUCGAUGAGUUCACGGGCCUCAUAUCUUGUACCAUAUAGAGUGUUGAUGAGUUCACGGGCCUCAUAUCUUGUUAUUUAUAGAGUGUCGAUGAGUUCAUGGGCCUCAUAUUAAGUAUUAAAUAGGGUGUUACCGAGUUCACGGGCCUCAUAUCAUGUACCUUAUAGAGUGUCGAUGAGUUCAUGGACUUCAUAUCAAGUACAUGUACUAUAUUGAGUGUUGAUGAGUUCACGGGCCUCAUAUCUGGCAUAUAAUAUAGGGUGUCGAUGAGUUCACGGGCCUCAUAUCUUGUACUAU